ACGAACGCUGGCGGCGUGCUUAACACAUGCAAGUCGAACGGAAAGGCCCUGCUUUUGUGGGGUGCUCGAGUGGCGAACGGGUGAGUAACACGUGAGUAACCUGCCCUUGACUUUGGGAUAACUUCAGGAAACUGGGGCUAAUACCGGAUAGGAGCUCCUGCUGCAUGGUGGGGGUUGGAAAGUUUCGGCGGUUGGGGAUGGACUCGCGGCUUAUCAGCUUGUUGGUGGGGUAGUGGCUUACCAAGGCUUUGACGGGUAGCCGGCCUGAGUGUGACCGGCCACAUUGGGACUGAGAUACGGCCCAGACUCCUACGGGAGGCAGCAGUGGGGAAUAUUGCACAAUGGGCGGAAGCCUGAUGCAGCAACGCCGCGUGCGGGAUGACGGCCUUCGGGUUGUAAACCGCUUUCGCCUGUGACGAAGCGUGAGUGACGGUAAUGGGUAAAGAAGCACCGGCUAACUACGUG
rnacentral:rRNA from 1 species